GUGACAUAAGCUUUUGUAAAGGGCAUCUGACAGCAGACCCGCACCCAUGACACUGGCCGACCUGCUACAUGUGCGCCCGGCAGCCGAAGGCAUCCGUGCCGGUUCCAUGCUCACACGUGCCCACACCGCCGAGAAAAAUGAAGGUUCAAUAUAUGCAAAUGAGCCUCCAGGAGCAACGGGGGCGCCACCGCCACACCUAGAGGCUCCG